UUUUAGAUUUCCGUAUUCAACUUUAACCGUUCGUCUUAUUCAAAAAUUUUAUAAAUAAAUUUAUAAAAAUAGUCAUGCAUGAAGUACUAUUCAUGUGUUACCAUUUAAUAACAAUAAAAAUAUUAAUUUUUUAAUAAGACGGACGGUUAAAGUUGAACCCAAAGAUUUAAA
rfam:Leersia perrieri chromosome 11, whole genome shotgun sequence.